rfam:Stegodyphus mimosarum contig32071, whole genome shotgun sequence.
GCCUUCGUGGUGUAGUGGUCUGCAUGUUUGACGCGUAACCGAGAGGUCCGUGGUUAGAUUCCCGGCGAAGGCG